CUCUAGAGGAAGCCAACAGCCAUAUCACCAGUAUCCAGGCAUCUUAUAGAAAGAUCUAUGGGGCAAGAACUGAGGCAUGAACUAGAAGCACUGACUUUCCAGCCAUGAGCAGGCUCUUGGAGAUUUGAUUGUGUUGACCUGGGAUGCUAAGGGUUGUACUGAGAACACGGUGACAUGUGAGGAUAUUGUCUGACACUGACAUAAUUAAAGGGAAUUAUCAGAAGAGUGGCACCACUGGAAACAGAAAGUAAAUCAAGGAUGAGGCAGAAAUGCAAUUCCCAGGUCUGUGGGUAGAGUUGCCUUGGCACCAAGCAGAACAGAGGGGGAAGGAAAAAAGGAAUGUGGGAAGGGAAGGGGAACACAGCACUGAAUUAAGUGCAUGGAAAGAGAAGUCAAUAGAUCAAGACAGGCAUUGGAAUCCCUGCCUCCACUUCCUGAGGCCCAGCUGCAAUCCUGUCCUUCAGCUUUGUGAGACGCCCAUCUCCUUGUAAUAAACUCCUUGCUUAACUGGU